rnacentral:rRNA from 1 species
ACGGCGAAGCACAGCUUGCUCUGUGGAUCAGUGGCGAACGGGUGAGUACACGUGAGCAAUCUGCCCCUGACUCUGGGAAAGCGCUGGAAACGGCGUCUAAUACCGGAUACGAGCUGCGACCGCAUGGUCAGUAGCUGAAAAGAAUUUCGGUCAGGGAUGAGCUCGCGGCCUAUCAGCUUGUUGGUGAGGUAAUGGCUCACCAAGGCGUCGACGGGUAGCCGGCCUGAGAGGGUGACCGGCCACACUGGGACUGAGACACGGCCCAGACUCCUACGGGAGGCAGCAGUGGGGAAUAUUGCACAAUGGGCGCAAGCCUGAUGCAGCAACGCCGCGUGAGGGAUGACGGCCUUCGGGUUGUAAACCUCUUUUAGCAGGGAAGAAGCGAAAGUGACGGUACCUGCAGAAAAAGCGCCGGCUAACUACGUGCCAGCAGCCGCGGUAAUACGUAGGGCGCAAGCGUUAUCCGGAAUUAUUGGGCGUAAAGAGCUCGUAGGCGGUCUGUCGCGUCUGCUGUGAAAACCCGAGGCUCAACCUCGGGCCUGCAGUGGGUACGGGCAGACUAGAGUGCGGUAGGGGAGAUUGGAAUUCCUGGUGUAGCGGUGGAAUGCGCAGAUAUCAGGAGGAACACCGAUGGCGAAGGCAGAUCUCUGGGCCGUAACUGACGCUGAGGAGCGAAAGGGUGGGGAGCAAACAGGCUUAGAUACCCUGGUAGUCCACCCCGUAAACGUUGGGAACUAGUUGUGGGGUCCAUUCCACGGAUUCCGUGACGCAGCUAACGCAUUAAGUUCCCGC